rnacentral:rRNA from 1 species
CCUACGGGUGGCAGCAGUGAGGAAUAUUGGUCAAUGGACGCAAGUCUGAACCAGCCAUGCCGCGUGCAGGAAGACGGCUCUAUGAGUUGUAAACUGCUUUUGUACGAGGGUAAACGCAGAUACGCGUAUCUGUCUGAAAGUAUCGUACGAAUAAGGAUCGGCUAACUCCGUGCCAGCAGCCGCGGUAAUACGGAGGAUUCAAGCGUUAUCCGGAUUUAUUGGGUUUAAAGGGGGCGUAGGCGGGCGGAUAAGUUAGAGGUGAAAGCCCGAGGCUCAACUUUGGAAUUGCCUUUGAUACUGUUCGGCUAGAGAGUAGUUGCGGUAGGCGGAAUGUAUGGUGUAGCGGUGAAAUGCUUAGAGAUCAUACAGAACACCGAUUGCGAAGGCAGCUUACCAAGCUACCUCUGACGUUGAGGCACGAAAGCGUGGGGAGCAAACAGGAUUAGAUACCCGAGUAGUC